AGAGAAGAAGAUAAGGGCGUAUGGCGGAUGCCUAGGCUCUCAGAGGCGAAGAAGGACGUGACAAGCUGCGAAAAGCUACGGGGAGAUGCACAUAAUUAGUGAUCCGUAGAUAUCCGAAUGGGGCAACCCGGUAUGUUGAAGACAUAUCACCAGCAAUGGGGCAAACGCAGGGAACUGAAACAUCUAAGUACCUGUAGGAGAAGAAAACAAUAGUGAUUCCCUGAGUAGCGGCGAGCGAACGGGGAACAGCCCAAACCAAGAUUGUUUCGGCAAACUUGGGGUUGUAGGACUGUAAUGUGGACUUAAGAUAGAUAGUAGAACUACUUGGAACGGUAGGCCAGAGAAGGUGAUAGCCCUGUAGACGAAAUCGAUUUUAUACCUAACAGUAUCCUGAGUAGUGCGGGGCACGGGAAACCCUGUAUGAAUCAAGCGGGACCAUCCGUUAAGGCUAAAUACUCCUGAGAGACCGAUAGUGAACAAGUACCGUGAGGGAAAGGUGAAAAGUACUCCGAAUAGGAGGGUGAAAUAGUACCUGAAACCAUACGCUUACAAGCGGUCGGAGGUCUUCGGACUGACGGCGUGCCUUUUGCAUAAUGAGCCUACGAGUUACUCCUCACAAGCGAGGUUAAGACUUUAAGAGUCGAAUCCGAAGCGAAAGCGAGUCUGAAUAGGGCGAACUAGUUUGUGGGGGUAGACGCGAAACCGUGUGAUCUACCCAUGGGCAGGUUGAAGCUGUAGUAACAUACAGUGGAGGACCGAACCAGUACAUGUUGAAAAAUGUUUGGAUGACCUGUGGGUAGGGGUGAAAGGCUAAUCAAACUCGGAAAUAGCUCGUACUCCCCGAAAUGCAUUUAGGUGCAGCGUUGAGUUAAGUAUUAUAGAGGUAGAGCUACUGAUUGGGCUAGGGGGCUUCACCGCCUACCAACCCCUGACAAACUCCGAAUGCUAUAAUAUGUUUCUCAGCAGUGAGGGCAUGGGUGCUAAGGUCCAUGUCCGAAAGGGAAAGAACCCAGAUCAUCAGCUAAGGUCCCCAAAUGUGUGUUAAGUUGACAAAACGCGGUCAGAUUGCAUAGACAGCUAGGAUGUUGGCUUGGAAGCAGCCAUUCAUUUAAAGAGUGCGUAACAGCUCACUAGUCGAGCGAUUUGGCAUGGAUAAUAAUCGGGCAUAAAUACACUACCGAAGCUAUGAACUUGAAUUUAUUCAAGUGGUAGGGGAGCAUUCUAAUUGCAUUGAAGGUGAACUGUGAGGUUUGCUGGAGCGGUUAGAAAAGAAAAUGUAGGCAUAAGUAACGUUAAGGAGGGCGAGAACCCCUCCCACCGCAAGACUAAGGUUUCCCCGGCUAUGCUAGUCAUCCGGGGGUUAGUCAGGACCUAAGGCGUACCCUAACGGGGAAGUCGAUGGACAACGGGUUAAUAUUCCCGUACUUGCUUAAACAGUGAUGGAGAGACGGAGUAGUGAAAGUACCGCGUACUGACGGAAUAGUACGUUGAAAACCGUAGGUAUUGGAGAGGCAGGUAAAUCCACCUUUCUAGCUGAAAGUUGAUAGUACCAAGAGCCUUCGGGCAAUUGGAUAGUGUACCUAAUCAGACUUCCAAGAAAAACUUCUAAACUUAUGUUUAAGCAACCUGUACCGCAAACCGACACAGGUAGUCGAGGAGAGUAUCCUAAGGUGGACGAGUGAUUCAUGGCUAAGGAACUAGGCAAAAUAGACCCGUAACUUCGGGAGAAGGGUCCCCUGUAGUAAUACAGGGCGCAGUGAAAAGGCCCAGGCGACUGUUUAUCAAAAACACAGGACUCUGCUAAGUUGAAAGACGAUGUAUAGGGUCUGACACCUGCCCGGUGCCGGAAGGUUAAGUGGAGAUGUUAGUCUUCGGAUGAAGCAUUGAAAUGAAGCCCCGGUAAACGGCGGCCGUAACUAUAACGGUCCUAAGGUAGCGAAAUUCCUUGUCGGGUAAGUUCCGACCUGCACGAAUGGUGUAACGAUCUGGGCACUGUCUCGGCCAUGAGCUCGGUGAAAUUGUAGUAACGGUGAAGAUGCCGUUUACCCGCAGUGGGACGGAAAGACCCCGUGAACCUUCACUAUAGCUUUACAUUGACUUUGGGUAAACGAUGUGUAGGAUAGGUGGGAGACUAUGAAGCUGGCACGCUAGUGUUGGUGGAGUCAACCUUGAAAUACCACCCUUCGUUUAUCUGGAGCCUAAUCCCGUAAGGGAGACAGUGUAUGGUGGGUAGUUUGACUGGGGUGGUCGCCUCCAAAAGAGUAACGGAGGCUUUCAAAGGUUCCCUCAGCACGCUUGGUAACCGUGCGUAGAGUGCAAUAGCAUAAGGGAGCUUGACUGUGAGACUGACAAGUCGAGCAGGUACGAAAGUAGGAUAUAGUGAUCCGGUAGUUCCGUAUGGAAGGGCUAUCGCUCAAAGGAUAAAAGGUACUCCGGGGAUAACAGGCUGAUCACUCCCAAGAGCUCACAUCGACGGAGUGGUUUGGCACCUCGAUGUCGGCUCGUCACAUCCUGGGGCUGGAGAAGGUCCCAAGGGUUGGGCUGUUCGCCCAUUAAAGUGGCACGCGAGCUGGGUUCAGAACGUCGCGAGACAGUUCGGUCCCUAUCUACUGUGGGCGUUGGAAAUUUGCGAGGACCUGACUCUAGUACGAGAGGACCGAGUUGGACAAACCUCUGGUGUACCAGUUGUUCCGCCAGGAGCACCGCUGGGUAGCUAUGUUUGGAAGAGAUAAGCACUGAAAGCAUCUAAGUGCGAAACUCGCCUCAAGAUGAGAUUUCCUUUAAGGGUCGUUGGAGAUGACGACGUUGAUAGGCUGCAGGUGUAAAGUCAGUGAUGGCAAAGCCGAGCAGUACUAAUUACCCUAUGUCUUCCCUUC
rnacentral:rRNA from 1 species